rnacentral:rRNA from 1 species
UGACCGCUGGCGGCGUGCCUAAUACAUGCAAGUCGAGCGAACGGACGAGAAGCUUGCUUCUCUGAUGUUAGCGGCGGACGGGUGAGUAACACGUGGAUAACCUACCUAUAAGACUGGGAUAACUUCGGGAAACCGUAGCUAAUACCGGAUAAUAUUUUGAACCGCAUGGUUCAAAAGUGAAAGACGGUCUUGCUGUCACUUAUAGAUGGAUCCGCGCUGCAUUAGCUAGUUGGUAAGGUAACGGCUUACCAAGGCAACGAUGCAUAGCCGACCUGAGAGGGUGAUCGGCCACACUGGAACUGAGACACGGUCCAGACUCCUACGGGAGGCAGCAGUAGGGAAUCUUCCGCAAUGGGCGAAAGCCUGACGGAGCAACGCCGCGUGAGUGAUGAAGGUCUUCGGAUCGUAAAACUCUGUUAUUAGGGAAGAACAUAUGUGUAAGUAACUGUGCACAUCUUGACGGUACCUAAUCAGAAAGCCACGGCUAACUACGUG